rnacentral:lncRNA from 1 species
CUACACACACCAUGCCCCUUUAUAGGGAAAAGGUAAACUUUAUGGAUAGAAUGCUUAUACAUAUAUUAAACCAUCUAAUGUCUGAAGAGCUCAAACCAAAUCAAAACAUCGUCCGUAAAUUUUCAAAGAACAAAACUAGAUAGUGCUGACCUGAGGGAGAUCAGUGGGCACUCUCUUUCCUAUAGAUUGCAGCUCCCUUCGCUCUCUCUCUCUGUAAGUCUCCUGCCUUCUACCCUAAUGGUUGCGCGAUCUCCAGAUAUAUUGUGGUAGGAAAACGUGCAUGAGUUUUCUUCUGUGUCAUCAGUAAACGAGGAGGUCAUUUUCACUUUUAUAUAUUUACUGUCAUUACCAUAUGCAUUUAUGUUCACAUUUAUAUAUAUUAUAGUCAUUGCCAUAUGCAUUUACUAGAAAAACUGUAUUAACUUAUUUUUUUAGGAAUUGUUUUAAUAUUUUAGUCUUUUUUCUAAUUUGAAAUAAUGUUUUUUAUAUCUUAGUAUUGACAUAUCUGUUGGAAAAAAUCAACACCAGAGCAGUGUUGGGUCUUUUCUCUGUUCCUAUUGGGAUGAAAGAAUCUAAUGAAGCUCAUGAACUGUUAGCAGUAGUUAAUAGGGAUUAACUUUGCAAUCGCAAGGUUCAAAUUUUAUUGUCGGUGGGUCAGUAGGUUGAUAGGGAUUAAUUUUAAAAAUCAUCUUUGGACUUUCCACAUUUGUAGUUUUCUACUGGAAACGCGUUUUCCACAGGGCAAGUUUGGCACUCAAGUUUUUACCACCAGCCACUGCCCCUCUUCUACAAUAAUCUGAAAUGUUCACUGGCUCACUCGUAGAAAUCUUUGAUGCUGUACGAAGACUACAGGAUACUUUGUGCUAUACAAAUUAUUUAAUUUUACUGUAUUCUUCUACAUUGGUGGUGGCGCGUGAGAAAGACGCGCCGCCACUAUUCACCUGUUCAGAGACCUUCCUCAGCACUCAUGCAGUUUCAAAAAGCUUCCCCAGCUCUGUUAUGGAUUUUUGGGGGGUUUAUUUUGUAAUUUUUAAAUUGUUUAAUAUUUUUGAAUUGUUUAAUGUAUUGUUUUGAUUUAUUUUUAAUUUUGGUGAUUUGUAAGAUGUUAAUAGUGUGUAUGUAAAAAAAAAGAAAAGAAAAGAAAAGAAAAGAAAUAUAAUGAAAGUGUAUGUGUGUGUUUUAUUUUAAUUUUUAUAUAUUUUUUAUGAUAAAAUUGCAAAGAUUAAAGAAGAAUUUAAUAUUUUGAUUGGAUCACGGUCAAGAAUUAUUAACUUAUACGUAAGUUGUAUUUCUGAUAUCCGAUGAAAAGACAAUUAUUAAAACUUCUUUAACACAUCAAAAGCCAUGAAGCAGCUUACCUCAGGUAGGGUGCGUUAGGGGUGCUAAUACCUUCUCUAACCACAACCAGUCCCUUACCCGCGAAUCUCUGACAAGACCAGCACAGUCGGUUUCCUAGUAGCCUUCAAUAAAUUACUAGGUGGCGACUCCCAACGAACCAAUCAAACAAUACGCAUUAACGAGAAAAAUCACCAGCCAAUGCCGCGCGGAUUUUGACGUGCGACAAUUAUUAUAUAAAAACCUUUGAGGAAUUGUUUUUUUCAAUGAUGAAGCUAGCUUUCACUAGCUGUUUUUGGUUUGCCUAUAUAUCAACAUAAAUAAGCAAAUAAAAUGUCAAGAAGCAUGUGAAGCAUGAUUCACAUGUUUAUAAAUAGUAAGAGAACCUAUAAAAAAUCAAAUACAAAUAAUUGGAAGUCCUUUCAAAUAAAAGUUAAAGUCUAUCAAGAAAGGAUAUAAUUAAAUUCCUUAUCAAAUGAAAUCAAAACAAAUAAAAUCUCACCUGUUAAAACUUUCAAGCUCAUAUAAAAAUGUUAUAUCCCUCCAAAAUAAGUUCAAGAUCAAGCAUAGAAGGUUAUAAUAUUCAGAUAUGACUCUUAAUUAGGGAAUUUAUACACCUAAAACAUAUAUAAAGACUUUGAAUAUUACUUAGAAUUCUUAAUAAUCACAAUACUAGGUGUCGAAUUUAAAUCUUUUAAAUUAUAAAAAGGAUAAAAAUACUUUGCUAUUUUCAGACACCUAAAAAUCCAAUCUAGAACAACAAUAACGAUACAACAUACGUGCAACACGACCUCUUACUCUCUCUUUCUAUGGAAGUUUAUAUUUGGUAAAACAGUGUAUAAUGUUUUUUCAAUUGAAAAUAUAUUAAAAUAAUAUAUUUUUUUUAGAUUUUUUAACACCAAUAUAUUAAAAUUAUUAAAGAAAAAUUAAAAAAUUAUUAAUUUAAUACUUUUUUGAUAAAAAAUAAUUUUGAAAGCAGGUUUUUUCUAAAAAAAACACUCCCGAAGUUUUUUUUGCCUUAUGUAUCGAAAAACAAAUAUACUGAGUGAGUGAGGGCUAAAAAGAAGAGAGGGUCAGAAGAUAACUUAGUCAAAAUAAUGUCGGCAAAACGUGCAUGUCAUGUAGUCAUUUUCGGUGAUAGGUCAUUUUCACCAUUAUAUUUUUGUAGUCAUUGAAUAUUUAUGUUGAUAUUUAUAUUUAUAUAUUUAUAGUCACUGUCAUAUAUAUGCAGUUAUGUUCAUGACAGCUAAAUAUAUAUUUAAAAAAAAUGGAUUAACUUACUUUUUAAAAAUUAUAUUAACAUAUUAAUUAGUUUCUUUUGAAAUCAGAGAUACUUUAUAUAUAUAUAUAUCUUCGUAUUGACAUAUAUGAUAUAUUGCCAUAUAUAAAAAAAAUGAUUUUUUAUAAGAAAAUUAUUAUUAUUAUUAUUAUUAUUAUUAGAUAAAAAACAUGAAUAAUGUGUGGACACAUUUUUUUAUGAUAAAAAUAUCCUUAAGUUUUAUUAAUCAUUAAUGUAUUGAAAGGAUUUUAUCCAGCGGUUUUAAAAAAAUUAAUUUUUAUUAUUAAAAAAUAUUUUUUUUAUAUGUUUUUGAUCGUUUUGAUGCGCUGAUUUCAAAAAUAAUUUUUUAAAAAAUUAUUUUGAUGCAUUUCAACAUGAAAAUACUUUAAAAAGCGACUACAAUUAUACUCUCAAACAUGUUAUUUAAUCCCCAAUGCUUAUUUAGAUGAGAAAUUAUCAUUUUGAUGUAUUUUAGCAUGAAAAACAUUUAAAAAAAAAAACGACAACCACAAUCUCAAACAGGUUAUUUAGACCUCAAUGCUUAUUUAGAUGAGAAAUUAUUGUUCUUUAGUCUCUAAAUUAUCUUAUCUAGGGUUAAUUAUAAAAAGCAAAAUAAUCAACAUACAAAUUAGGAUAUAAAAAAUGAUAAGUAAUUAGAUUGAAUUUAAGUUAGAAAUAAACGUCAACCUUGUAAUAAUAAUUUUAGGUAUUUUCAGUGUUUUUUUCAUCUCCAGCUCGUGUUUUCUUUUGCGAUCUGUUGUUUUCACAUUAUUGUCAUAUGCUUCAAUAAUCUUCGCCAGCUCAGAGAUAUAUUGGAAAACGAAUUUAACCUAUUAUUAUUAUUAUUAUUAUUAUUAUUAUUAUAUAAGAAACCUUCGAGGGAUUUUUUUUUUCAAUGAUGAAGCUAGCUUUCACUAGCUGUUUUUGGUGUGCCUAUAUAUCAAGAUAAGUAAGCAAAUAAAAUGUCAAGGACCAUGUGAAGAUCAACUCAUUAUUUUGAUUUAUAGGUGUAUAUAUAUAUAUUGAAAGCAAAAACUUUAUGAUCUCAAGUAAGCAAAUAAAAUAAAUUGGAAAUCAAAAACUUUAUGUUUGUAUGUAAUAAAAUAAAAUAAGAAUUAUAUGUAUUAAUAAAUAUUAAAUAAAUUGUUAACACUAACUAAAAAUUGAGUUGAGAAGUUAAGAUAUAUAUAUAUAUAUAUAUAUAUAUAUAUAUAUAUAUAUAUAUAUAUAUUGUAGUACUGAGUAUGGUUUAAAGUGUUUUUCAUUUAAAAAUACAUCAAAAUAAUUUAUUUAUUUAUUUAUUUUAAAAUAUUAUUUUUAAUAUCAACACAUCAAAAUAAUCUAAAAACAUUAAAAAUUUAAAACUUAAAGAAACACGGUUUAAACCGCAUUCCAAACAGGUCCUAGUAUCUUGUCUACCCAAAAACAUAUGAAAAUGGCUAUAAAUAUAUAAAUGUGAACUUAAAAAUGAUUUCUAAGAGGUCAAGUAUAUUUAUACAUAAUAAUCCCUGUAAACUUAUUAAAUCUUUAUUUUAGCCCUUUAAUGUUGAAUCCUGGAUCCAUCUUUUUUUCUAUCAGCAGAUAGUCUUUUAUAUAUAUAAAAUAAAACCCACCGAUCAACCCACGGAGCAUGUGAAGUUACAAAUUUCAAAUGCAUGAAGGAAGACCCCAUAAUGAAAACGAUGUUUGUUUAUCUUAUAAAUAUAUUUGGAUGCAGCCUUCGCUGGUUCACACUCACCUGCAGACAAAAUUUCCAAGCGUCCUUUGAAGUUGAUGGAAAAAUUGAAUCAAUUGAUAGUGAGAGGGAAAGAUUGUGCAUUUCUUCGUUGUCGUUUAUUCCUUUACAAGACAGAUGCAUUAUUAAAAAAUUGCUUUGAAUCAUUUCCAUCAAUUGUCAAGUAUUUCAUAACAGUAAUUCGAUUCACUUGAAAAACUGGUUUUUCCUAUUCAAUUGCUUAAGCUCUAUUAAAAAACCGGACCGGAUCUAUUUUAGUUCAUAUAUAUAUAUACUUUUUUUAUUUAGUUCUCCGACUCCGGAUGAGUUUGGGCGUCCGGCGCCUCUUUUGAGGACGGGAGGAAAAAACAUAUAUAUCUACACCUUGCACCCUUUUAGGAAAAGAUAAAUCUUUAAGGAAAUAAAUUUUUUUUAUAACAUGUUUAUUAUUUUUAUUAAAACAAUGUAUAUUGAAGAUCAAAACAUAAUAUUUUUUAUAUAAAUAACUUAAUAAUUUCAAGUUUAAUCUCUAAUUUAAUAACAAGUUCAGUGAUAUUAACUUUAAAAUUUAAAAUAUUACAUUUAUAGAAAAAUGCAUGCUAAACAUUUGAAAUAUAACCUAUUUAUAUUUAGUUUGAUCCAUGUGGGACCAUUAAGCCAUAUGAAGAGAGGGGUUUAGCCUAAUUUCUUAGGAGUUUUUAAUAUUUAAUUUGUUUUACAUGGAGAACAAAUAUAGAAAAAAAAAUAUUAGCUUCCCAAAAAUAGUAUUUGAUGAUCUAUCUAGUUUUGAUCAAAUGCUACUACAUGUGCUGUAUAGAUAUAAUUAUGGAUUAAUUGAGCUGAGAAUUUAUAGAUACAAUUGUGACAUAACAACGAUUUAUAAUCUAAAAUAGUAAAGAUUAAAUUUAGAACAACCUAACUAGUGUUCUGUGCCCUAUUAAAACAUCAGGUUUUUGGAGUAUUCUGAAUUAGUUUGUGAUUUCUCCUAACAAAGAUGAAACUCUUUUAGUAGAUAACUAGAACACGUUCCUAUAUGAUAAACUUGAAUAUUAUAUGCUUGGAAAACUGCACAUAAUUAUAAAAUGUUUUUAAUAAAGCAUUUGAUGACUUUGAGAUGCCAAGAUGAAACUUAAUCAACAAAUCACUUAAACACGUUACAACUAGUUUUUUUUUUUUAAAAAAAAAAAACUAGUUGUUCCUUGUUUGGGUACAAUCUGAUUAUUUUUUUUUAAUUUCUUUUGUAAUACUGUUGGUCAUUUUUAUUAGAUAUGUAGCUAGUUCUCCUAAAUAAAUUAGUAUGGGUAAUUAAAGUGACUGCAAAGGGUAUUGAUACCGAUAAUCACUUGUUCACCACCGCUAAUCAAGUCUUGCUCUCUAGCUAUCUUAAUACCCAUAUAAAUCUAAAGUCGAAGCUCUGAUCAUUUCACAGCAGGUUCAAUGAAAUUAACAACAAAAUUGAUUACAAAUGUUUAUAUAUGCUGGAUAACUAAAACAUAAUUAAGCAAACCAACUUUUUUAAAAAUAAAAAUAAAUAGAACCACCUAUUGUCUGCAGAGCUUAAACCAAAUCCAAAACUAAACAUUUCGAAAAACUAAACAUUUCAAAGAGCAGAACAAGUUAGUGCUGACCUGAGGACGGAGAUCAGAGGACCGUGUCUGUAAAUAGAGUCCCUAGCCGCGAGCCUCUUCCUAUAUAUAUAUUGCAGCACCUCUCUCUCCCCCCCCCCCCCCCCCCCCCCUCUCUCUAAGUCUCUUGCCUUGUCUCUCUCCCUCUCUCUCUAUCUCUCUAAGUCUCUUGCCUUGUCUACCCAGAUGCACAAGACAAUGGCUAUAAUUAAGGGACUUAAUUCUAUAUGCUCUCUAGAUUCAAGCCUGGCAAGGGCGGAUCUAGGAAAGUCCCUUAACUCCCUUAACUUUAAAAUUAUUUAUAAAAGAUGAAGUAUAUUUGUACAUAAUAAUCCCUGUAGAAUAUUAAAUCUUCAUUUUAGCCCUUUAAUGUUGAAUCCUGGAUCCAUCUUAUUUAUAUCUGAGGAUAAUAUUUUAAUGAAAAAAAAUCACCGAUCAACCUACAAAUAUCUUAGGCUCACCGUCCCACUAAACAUGAGAGGAUAAAAAAUUUCAAGUGGGUGAAGGUAGACCCCAAAAUGAAAACAACGUUUGUUUAUCUUAUAAUUAUACUCCCCCCCUCGCACAUCAAACAAUUUUCUCUAGACGAUAAGACAGCAUGUAGGACUAAAAAGCCAUCAAAGGGAAGGGACAGGUUAAUGUAUUUUGAGUUAAUUAAAAUAUAUUAUUAUAAUUUUCUUUUUUUUUAUAUAUAAAAAGCAAUUGAUUUUAUAAUUCCCCUAUUGAUAAAUUGAUUUUGAAUAUCUACAGCUUCUUAUCAAUUCACUUUUAAAAACUGGUUUUUCCUAUUCAAUUGCUUGAUCUGGUUUAGUUCUUUUAUAAAAAAAAAUUAAAAAUGGAACUACAUACACCCCGCAUCCUUACAGGGAAAAGGUAAACUUUACAGAUAGAAUGCUUUUAUAUAUAUAUAUAUAACAAUUCUAUCUGUAAAGUUUACUAGAGAGAGAGAGAGAGAGUGGUUCAUCACACUUCAUCUCCACAGGUGUGGUUCAUCACACCUGUGGAGAUGAAGAAGGAAAAUACAUAAGCUUUAAACUACAGAUCAAGGAUUUUCACUCUGAUGGAGAAGGAAAAUACAUCAGCUUUAAACUUUCAUCACACUUCAUUUCCACAGGUAUGACUAUGUUAUUUCACAGAGGUAUUCUAUUUUUAUGGAUAAAAGCUUUUACUACAGUUGUCUUCCUUAUUAAUAGAUUGCAUUCAUCCGCUCUUAAUUCUGAAUCUCCAUACUUUACAUUGCACGAAACUCUUCCUUAUUAUUCAUCUCCUCAAGUCUUUGGGUCUAAAAGCUUCCCUUACACCUAAGAUACAAGACAACAUAAAUUUUAUCAAAAAACAGUCCUUUAUAUCUUUGUAGGAUACAAUGAUAAACAAAAAAGGAUACAAAUGUUUUCAAGCUUCCAGCAAAAACAAAUGUUUUUUCUCUCCAUGUGGUCUUUGAUGAAUCAUUCUUUCACUAUAAAAAAAAUCAUAAUUGCAACACCACGUCUCCUUUUCUUGCUUCUAUUAGUUUUUUGGAUUUCUUCCGAUUAUUUUUUUAUUUUUUGUAUGAGAAUCCAAAAAUAAGUAACAACAAUGUGUACUGUCCAAAUCUGGGAGUUGUCUGCAUCAAACACCAGCGGAGCAAUUGAUGAGAAACUAGCUUCAGCUUCCAUGAUGUAUCAAACUCACACACAUGUCCCUAUAAAAAGAUAGCUCUGAUACCAAUUGUAAUUGUUUUAAAAUAAAGAAAGAAGAAACAGAGUAUUGCUGUAGUUAAGAAAAAAUAGAAAAUGAGAGCAAUCGAUUUUGAAGCUGAAAAAUUGAAUACAAUUAACGUCUGUAGCAUUACAAUUUAAAGCUUGUUUAAUAACAACCCACUAACAUCAUGGUCCUAAGAUUACGCCAUGAUCAAAAUCAUAGAUAACAAAAGAAAUAACUGAAAACAAAGAAAUAAGAACAGGUUUGAAAUAUUUCAAACCACUAAACAAUGUUUAUGACUCCACCAACAGCAGUUAUAAACACGUUUUCUAACAACUUGGAGCAUGUAGACCAUCCUUUCCUAGCUAAUGCUUAUAACUUCCUGCGGCUUAAAGGUACUCCAAUUUCUUGGGCAAAGGUGGUCUAGGAGCCUUGGUUUAUGCCCAGAUAUAAUUUUAUUAUGUGGUUGGCUGUGAUGGGGAAGCUUCGCACCCGAGAUAGGCUUCAGUUCCUACAAACUGAUCCUAGUUGUGCUUUCUGCCGAGAUGAAGAAGAAUCCCACAACCAUCUGUUUUUUGCUUGCCACUAGACUUCUCUCUUAUGGCGGAUGACGAAAUCAUGGCUUCGCAUAAACAAGCGAAUGUCGACCAUAAAUAUUGCCAUUUGAGGUCUCCACUAUACCGCGAACAAUACUGUUGGUAGAAUGCGAAGAGUCUCACUUGGUAUUCUGAUUUACUUAAUGUGGGAAGAGCGAAACAAGAGGAUUUUUUAUAAUACCUGCAAUUUUGUAUUAUAAAAAAUUGCAGGUUAUGUUCUUCAUGGUUCUGCAUUUCCAUGAAAAAAACCAUUUCAAUCUCUAAUUUGGGGGCUGCUUUCCUGCUCUGAUUGGCUUUGUUUCCUUUGUCUUUUGGGCAGUUCUCAGGAUCUGCUUCUCGGUGUGAUCUUCAAAGGGUUGUUUCAUCCUCUUUUGCUACUGCUGAUGGCCUUUUUUUGGUUUGGAUGGUGUUGUUGCUGCUGUCUUUUUUGUUCUUCUCAGUCUUAUUUCUCUUCUGCUGCGGUUUCUCUGUGUUUGAUGCCCCUGCUGGCUUCAUCCAUGUUAGAAUGGUGUGCUACAUCUCUGCUGGUUCUUUGUUUGUGCUGAGGUUCCCUUGAUGCCUACUUUGAUGCAGCAUGGCCCAUUGUUCGAGAUUUGUGAGCUGGUACUGUUAUUUUGCUUUUGGUUAGGUAGGGCACCUUAUUAUUAAUUAGGUUCCUAAUCUACCCAAGUCCAUUUUCUGCUUGGUUGUCUCUAUUUUUUUGUUGGGCUGGACGUUUAGUUCUAGUUAGGGAGCAUGUUUUUUUUUUUAUAUAUAAAUCUUUGAUAUUGAAUUUGUUGGUUCUCUAACCUUGUAUAUUUUUUUAUCUUUAAUAUAUUCAUACAUUUUGAUAAAUAAAAAUUAAUUAAAGAGUUUUGUCUAAUUAAUUUAUUCAUAAUUUCAUUGAUUUCCCUUAGUUUCAAGAAAUAUCAAAUUUAUUUAUUUUAUAUAAAAUAAUAUUUAUUUUACUUCGAUGAUCAACAAAUUUAAAUGAAUGGAUGCGUAGAAUCUUGAAUUGAGCUAACUACAUAUAAAGUUAUUACUUUCAGAAUUAUUGUUUUUUUAAUUUUUUAUAUUCAAAUCCCUCAUUCUUUUCCAUUUCAAUAUAUUAUAGGAAGAUUAAAUGAAAUUUCCUUUUGGUUCUACUUGAUUUUCAAAAUCACACUACAAAUUUAUUUUAUUUCUAAUAGUUAAUCUGAAUUAUGUUUGCAAACUCCAUUACAAUAUUAUUAGCAUAGUUUUUAAACCCGGACCGGCCCGGCGGGUUGACCCGGGACCCGGCCGACCCGGGCAUGGGACCGGUCCGGGUGAAGGCCAAAACCCGCUUGAGAAUUGGCCCGGCCAGACCCGGUUGACCCGGCGGGUCAACCCGGAACCCGGUUGACCCGGCAAGACCCGGUCAACACCCAACCCCAAACCCGUUGACUUUUAUUUUUUUUUUGUUUUUUUUUCUAAAACGACGUCGUUUUUAUUUUUUUAAAAAAAAUUAAAAAAUAAAUUUUGACCCGGCGACCCGGUCGAGACCCGUUGACCCGGUCAAAACCCAGAACCCGGAUCUUGGACCGGGCCGACCACCGGGCCGGGUCUUAAAACUAUGAUUAUUAGUUCAGAACUACACAAACCCAAUUCCUCAUUACGUAGGAAUAAUAAAGCUAAACAAGAUAAAAUCCUAGAAUGCCGAUUUUACGGAAGCUAUAGUCUGUAUCAAAGUGAGGAUCAGUAGGAUAGCUGCUGCAACAGUUGCCGUACCUCUCCAAAUAUUGGGGAAAUAUACAAGUUUCAAGGUUGCUUUAGUACGGUUAAAGCGGCUCUCAUAGUGGGCAUUUAUCACUUGAGAGAUAUCACCGAAACAAGUGUAACUGUCAUCAAUAUUUUCGCAAAAAUGGUUAAUUAUAUUUGAAACUGCAGCAUCGUCACCUAGCCGGUUGAGAAUGAUUCCCUUCCGGACUAGCAAACCCACGUCUUCUGCACUGUUGAUAAGAUUGUCCAUAAACUUAAUGUAACUGCAUACGUAAGCUUGAGACGGGUAGCAGCACUGCUCCAAGGCCAUGAUAUUUCGUACAAGACGUUCGAAGCUGUGAUCAACUUCCAACUCUGGUAUUUUCAACACUCCUUCCUCAAAUUCUAUGUUGACCGGGCAUUUGUCAUCGGUGACCUGAAACUUCACCCCAGCCUCGCGAAGCAUGACCGCACUAUAUUUCAGCUUCAUAGGAUAAAUCUUAUAACUUCGCGGAAUGGCUCCAUUCAACAUCAAAUUCCUUAGUAAAUCAGUGAAAUGCCUGCUUUCCUUUACAAUCGGGCUGGUUUCUGCCCCCUGUGAAAACUUGUACUUUCGAAAAUGAUACUUUGCAAGAUCAAGAAAAGGAAUGGCUGUAGCAUCCUGGCUAGGGGGAUCGACCUGGUCAUAUAUUUCCUGAAUAAUGAAGAAUGGCAGUUGGUUUUCAAGUAGCAUCAAGUCUUGUCGGAUGUCAAAUGUCAUCCUGGGUUCAAAAUUCUUAGGAUCGUUAAUAUCAUGAUCCUUUGACUCCAACAAAAACUGAAUGAUGAAGACAGCAUCCAGCAGGAUCAUCUCUACGAAAUCACGGCUCUUGAUUGAUUUGAAUUUCCCUGAAUAACAGUUUCGGAGACGCUCUUCUUGGUUCUCAAUGCUGCUCGAAAUAUUUUUCUUCUUAUCCAUCCCAACCCGUUCAGUAAGCUUUUUGAAAUAUUUCAGUUUCUCCUUUUCCAUGGCCUCUAGUCUUAUAUUUUGGCGGUCAAGAGGACCUAUUGAAAUCAGUAGUGGAGCGUAGGCUUUCCAAUUUACGUUUCGAAGCGGUUUGGGAACCCUGUAGAUGCAGCACUCGGAACCGUUCCGUUUAAAGGACAUCUGUUUCACCUCAGAAUCCAGCUUUGCCCAAAUAUCUGUAGCUUUCUCUCUCUCUCUUUCUUUAUAAUAAUCGGGAUUUGUAGCCAUCUCAAUGUCUGAAGCACUUCCCACGUCAAAAUCUUUUCCCUUGUUUGAAGCACUUGCAGUAAAUUUAUCCUUUUCCAGUCUGCAGGUUGGCUGAAACAAACCAAGAAUGAAUGGAAGGUAUACACAGUUCGGUUUUGAAUAUCACAAUUUUUCAAAACUUUUUCACUGUAACACAUUUUCUCCUUCUCUACCCCCUCUCACUUUAAAUCAUCCUUUUCUCUUUAUUUCUCACUUGGUAUAACAUUAAAUAGCCUAAAUAAUUAGCUAGAUUUUGUUCAUGUAUAUAAUCAAAUUUCACGCUAUCAAAUAAAAUUGAUUCAUACCAGUAUUUAAUUAAGCUCAUUAAUUAAGGGUGUUUAAAACAGUAAUAGAGGUUGAUGUUUAAAAUAUUUUUUAUUAUUUGAAAAUACAUCAAAAUAAUAAUAAUAAAAUUAGAAUUUAUUUUUAAUAUCUUCACAUCAAAACGAUCUAAAAAAAAUAAAAAUAAAGAAUUUAGGAUUGUUUUAGAAUUUGAAUAAAUGUUUUCUGAAGAUCAAAUCUUCUAUUUAAGGGGUGAUCAACUAUUUCAAAGUUGAAACUAUCCAAAUAAUGAUUUUUUUUCUUUCAAAAACUCAUGCUUAUAAUAAAAGAAAAUGUAUUUUUUUCAUAAAAAAAAAGAAGGAAUAAGGAAUGAUAUUUUUUAUUAAAGGAAUAUGUUUUUUUUCUUAUUCAUUUAAAUCAUUGAAUUUUUUAUUAAUAUUUAUUUUAAUUAACUUAUGUUUUGAUUUAUAAAAGAGCGAUACUAAUAAAAAUGACAUUUUUUCUCAUAGAGAAAUUGUCACCAGAGUAAUAGAUGUUUUCUUCAAAGAACUUAAAGCAUUUGAUUUUAUUGGAAUAUUUUUUUUAAUUACCAUAGAAUUCAAUAAAAUAAUUUCAAAAAGGCAGCAACAAGUAGGCAAAUUAACUAGUAGUAAUCUCAAGUUGAACCUCCGAUUCAAUAACAAGUUCAGUGACAUUAACAUCAAAAUUUAAGACAUGACAUUUAUAGAAAAAUGCAAGCUAGAAAAUGUUUAGCUGGUUUCCCUCGAAUUCUGCAAGAUAACCUAUAUAUUUCUGUUUAGUUUGAUCCAUGUGGGAUCAUUAAGCCCAUAUAAAGAGAGAGGGGUUCAGCCUAAUUUGUUAGGAGUUUUUAAUAUAUAUUUAAUGUGUUUUAUAUGGAGAACAAAUAUAGAAAAAAAAACUUUGAUCAAAUGAGGAUUUAUAAUUCAAAAUAAUAAAGAUUAAAUUUAGAACAACCUAACUAGUGUUUUGUGCGCUAUUACGACACAUCAGGUUUAUUUGGAUAUUCUGAAUUAGUUUGUGAAUUUUCCUGACAAAGAUGGAACUCUUUUAGUAGAUAAACUAGAACACAUUCCUCUAUGAUAAACUUGACAUUAUAUGCUUGGAAAACUGCAAAUAAUUAUAAAAUGCUUUUAAUAAAGCAUUUGAUGACUUUGAGAUGCCAAGAUGAAACUUAAUCAGCAAAUCACUUAAAACACAUGACUACUAGUUUUUUUAUAUAUAUAAAUACUUAUUGUUCCUUGUUUGGGUACAAUCUGAUUUUUUUUUCUAUUUUUUUUUGUUUUAUUUCUUUUGUAAUACUGUUUCCCAUUUUUAUUAGAUGUGUAGCUAGUUCUCCUAAAUAAAUUAGUAUGGGUAAUUAAAGUGACUGCAAUGGGUAUUGAUACCGAUAAUCACUUGAUGACCACCACUAAUCAAGUCUUGCUCUAUAGCUAUCUCAUAGUUCAAUUAAUGACUUUAACAACAAAAUUUAUUACAAAUGUUUUAUAUAUGCUGGAAAACUAAAACAUAAUUAAGCAAACCAACUUUAAUAAUAUAAAAUAAAUGGAACUACAUACACCGAACAACCUAUUGUCUGCAGAGCUUAAACCAAAUCCAAAACAUAAAAUUUCAAAAAAACUAAACAUUUCAAAGAACAGAACAAGUUAGUGCUGACCUGAGGACGGAGAUCAGAGGACUGUGUCUGUAUAUAGGGUCCAAGCACCGAACCACCGCUCUCUCUCUCUCCCCCCUCUCUCUCGAAGUCUCUUGCCUUGUCUAC